ACGAGUGGCGGACGGGUGAGUAAUGUCUGGGAAACUGCCCGGUGAGGGGGAUAACUACUGGAAACGGUAGCUAAUACCGCAUAACGUCGCAAGACCAAAGAGGGGGACCUUCGGGCCUCUUGCCACCGGAUGUGCCCAGAUGGGAUUAGCUUGUUGGUGGGGUAACGGCUCACCAAGGCGACGAUCCCUAGCUGGUCUGAGAGGAUGACCAGCCACACUGGAACUGAGACACGGUCCAGACUCCUACGGAAGGCAGCAG
rnacentral:rRNA from 1 species